AAAUUUUCAUACUAUGUAAGUAUAUUUGCACAUAAAGUGUUCGAUGUUUUGCUCAAGUGAAUUUGUUUUUUAUUGCAGUUUGUGGAGUACAGCAAGAUGAUAUACUUGGAUGGAGACAUACAGGUUUUUGACAACAUAGAUCACCUAUUUGAUUUGCCAAAUGCGUAUUUCUAUGCUGUGAUGGACUGUUUUUGUGAGAAGACAUGGAGUCACACCCCACAAUUCAAGAUUGGGUAUUGCCAACAGUGCCCGGAUAAGGUCCAUUGGCCUCAAGAAUUGGGUCUCAAGCCUCCUCUUUAUUUCAAUGCUGGGAUGUUUGUCUUUGAACCAAGUCUCCCCACCUACCAUGAUCUCUUGCACAAACUCAAAAUUACAACCCCAACUUCAUUUGCUGAGCAGGUAAUACAGAACAGCCAUUAAUCAGAAAAUUCCUUGACAAGUAUUUGUUUGAAACGAAAUUUAAAGUGUAUUAAAUGUCACAUUUGCAGGAUUUCUUGAACAUGUUCUUCAGGGAUAUUUACAAGCCAAUUCCCAAUAAUUACAACUUGGUUUUGGCAAUGAUGUGGCGCCAUCCCGAGAAUGUGAAGCUUGAUGAAGUUAAGGUGGUCCACUACUGUGCUGCAGGCUCCAAACCAUGGAGGUAUACUGGAGAAGAAGAAAACAUGGACAGAGAAGACAUCAAGAUGCUAGUCAACAAGUGGCGGGACAUUUAUAACGACGAGACAUUGAAUUACAACAGGGGUCCCGGUCGUAGUGCUAAAUCGACACCGGCGCUGCUUGAGGAGGCUGGUGUUGUUCAUUACAUCCCCGCUCCUUCGGCUGCUUAGUUUUGUCCUUUUGGUUGCUUAAUUAGGUUUUGAAUCUCAAAAGCUACUGAGUAAUUGAAUUGGCUCGAGUUUUUCAUGAAGCCAGUCCUCCAAGUAGCAUCUUUUUUCUUUUAUUUUUUUUAUUAGGGGAACGAAUUUAUGAAGUUCUCCUUGAUAUUGAUUGGAUUGUUGCUUUGUAAACAUUUAAAAAAUAUAUUUAUAUGAUAUUGUAAAUGUUACUCAAUGUUGUUAGGGAAAAUUCAUUGUAACCUUUCAUUGAGCAGGAUUUAAAAAUAUGAUAUUCAAAUAUGGAAUAUGAAUAAUUCGAUAAUAUCAAAAGUUGCCAUUGGCACUAAAAACGGUGAUGAAAACAGAGAAAAAUAUUCAGAGCAACCAUGGCUAGUAAUCAUAACAUUUUCGCAACCUUGGGUAAAGUUUGUAGUUUAGGAUUCAUUGGAAUUCUUCAGAUCUAAGUUCACCAGCAAACAAACAAUAUUUGGUAAACAAAGAUUUUCCUCAUCAUAAUUAUGUUUUAAUAAUUGUUGUUUUCCUGAAUAAUUCCUUGUAUACAAGGAAUUAUCUCACAGGGUCUUUACAAACCCUGAUAACCCCAUGUGAUUUUUAUUUAUUUAUUAUUUUUUAAAAAAUGAAUCACACAUCCCACCUGUCGUGUCUUUGUUUGUACCGACCCUGUGAAGUCCGAUCUUGUAUAUAUAGUGCGGUUGUAUUUUUCUUAAUAUUUCUUGCAUGGAAAACAAAGAGAAUUAUUUUGCCAAUUAUAAUAAACUCGUGUUUGGUAAAACAUUUUUCAAUUUUGAGUGGUUCAUUUUUUUUUUUAACCACACAUUUUAUUGGAAACAACAUGUAUAAUUUCAAAAAUCUUCGACAAGCAAGAGCUAAAGCAACAGGUUCAAUUACUGAUCACAACUACGGUUAAUAGUAAUUGGCAUGCAUUGAUGAGUGGAGGGAUUCUGAACAUCAUCAUUUAGUACAAUUCAACGUAACUAUUUUUAACAUUAAACAUUUUGCAUUACACAACUCUAAUACGAAGUAACAAGCGUGUGUUUGUAUAUAUAUAUAUAUAUAUAUAUAUAUAUAUAUAUGUACAUGUUGCUUCUCUUGCUUUAUCCCUCUUACAUUCUUUUAUUUUCCAUAUUUUCAUUACUUAUUUUUCAUUCUUCUACGGUAAAUGAAGAUUGAAAACAUCCAUUUUACAAGACAACUGUAGUAUAAGGAUUAAAAAAUGAAAUUAAAAAUAAUUGAGCAGCUUGAGUUUGCUCGAUAUAUUUAAUAGUAUUUUAUAAUGUCACACAUUAACAAUCCUAAUGUCGUACAAUUUUAUAUUAAAAACAGUCAUUCUAUAGACUACACAUAUACUUGGAUACAAGAAGUCUAAUACAAUUGAUGUACAGAAACUGAACAUAAAUGCAUUGAAGUUGUAUGUAACUUCAUCUCCAACAAAUAGACACUGCAUAUAUUAAAAAUUAGAAUUUUGCUAUUUGUCCGGAUUUUUUUGUCCGAAUGGUUAACAUCCUCUAUAAUGCCGUGGAUUCGGCAUAAGUAAAAAAGUCCAAAAAAAAAAAAGUGGGGCCCCGCCAUUGUGAGAGUCGGUCACCUCCUCCGUCAAAAAAAUUUGAGUACUGUAGCGGAAUUGUUAUUUGGGUUACUACAAAGUAAAUGCAAUUUCUUGUAUAAAAUUUGAUCCAAUUUUUUUGGGCCAUUUGCAAAAUAGCGUCGGGUCGCCAAAAUGAGGUAAGGAUUAGUAGUAAAGUCAAAUAGUGAGCAGUGAGUCAAGUUUGAUGAGUCGUUGCUUCCUUCCAACCAUUAAUUGUUAAUAUUAUCCUAAAUUAAUUAUCUUUUUCUUAUCCUAAACUUUUUUAGACUUUUAGACCAACAAAACUAGAAAUAUUGAACAAACGCAGCAGCACACGUUUAGUGGGUCCGUUCAAUGAUUAACUAGUCUAAGACACGCCUGGGACAUAUCUCAGUGGUGCAAAGGACAGGAAUAAGUUAGUCUCAAUCUUGCUGACAGUCGCAAUUUGAGAGUUCGAUUCAUGAGAUAUGAAAUUGAACUCUUUGUGGAUAUCAGUGUACAGGAAAGCUCUUAUCCCCUGGCCUGCUGAGGCAUAUCCCAUUAUUUACCUCCCUCACGAUACUCCAAUGACAGAAUGGUGAGGACCUUCAAGAUUGAGGUUCAAUCUUAACUAGUCUAAGACACAAUAUAGUCGGCUACGGUUGCAAUUUAGUCAACCUUUUAUUAGGAACGAAACAUGUACCUAACUUCAAUAAACAUUUAUUAUUUAUAAUAGUACUGCUGAAAGCACCGUUUUGAAUGAAGUAUCAAAUUUAUAUAAUUGUCAAUUUAUUUCACAUCCGUGUAGGUGAAAGCACUAGUGACAUUAGGGUUGGACAAAAUUCUCGAACCAAGUCGAUUAAAUCAGAUCCGACUCAAAUUGAAUCGAAUCGAAUGGUUCUUCUUAAAUUAAAUACCCGAAUGAGUAUCUAAAUUAAGAACUAACGAGUUUGGUUCGAUUUUCAGUUCUAGAUCAUGAAAUGAAGAAACGUAUAAAAAUCGAAUCUCCUUAAAUUUUUAAUUUAUUUAUUUUAAAUAAGUCAAAUUAUUUUAUUUUUUCUAAAUAAAUCUACUAACUAAUUAAUUUAAAUCAAAAUAAGAAAUAUGAUUUUUCUAUUUUUAAUUUCAGUUCAAGUCCAAUUUAAUCAAAUUGAUAUAAGUUUUACUCAAAUCUGUCAUUCUAUCGUAGUACCGUUUCUACCAUUCUAGAGAAAUCAAAUUAAAGCCUCACGACACCUAUCUUUAUUAUUGUGAGUUCGGUAUCUUCAUUUUCACGUGAUUUUGACAAUCAAAUUUAUAAAGCACUUAUCAAAGAGAUACGUAAAAGAUAUAGAAGAUUGGACUACGUUAUUUUGUAAGAAUUAAAAUUGAACGUGUCAUUAGUUGAAUUAAUGUAACUUUGUAAAUAUAAUAAAAUUUAAUUAUAGUAGAGAACUUGGGAAUCGAAUUGAACUGAAUGGAACCGAGCUCUAACGGUUCCAUAAUUAAAUUUGGACCGACGAUUUCACUUACUAAAUACCCGAAAUUUUUGGGUCCAAUCGGAUCAUAUCCUGCCCUAAGUGACAUUAAAUUACAUGUUCAGUUAUAAAUACAAUGAAUUAUGACACAUUGGUACUAGAUAAACUCAAGUGGCAAUUAAGUGCCAUUGAGUACAACUAAAUGGUGAAAAGGUGUCAUUACGAAAAAUUGCCAUGGAAACUAAGAGCGGACAUGAUGUGGUUCAUCCAGUUCCAAUAAAAGUUAGACAUUAUCAAACUCCAAUCGAUAUCUACUAAUAAUACCAAAAUGGUUCUACGUACUCUAUCAGAAAACAAAAAACAAAUGAACAAGAAUUCAACGCUUUGCCCUCGGAGAUGAAUUUUGGACGGAGUUGUGUAACUAAUAGGCGUUUAGAUUCGGGACCUCCGAAUGGCAGAAGAGCAUUGUGCUUAGCAUACUGAACUCAAUUGAUUAAUUUCGAUUCAAUCUUUUAAGUGCGAAAUUUGAGUCCAUACAUCAUCCUUUGACACAUCUAUUCUUGUUUUAUCCACUUUUCUUAUUACAAUUUUGCUAAAUAAAAAGAAUGAGACGGUGCUUCCAACCAUUGGUUAUUUCUAUUAUCCUUAAUUAUCUUUUUCUUAUCCUAAAUGUUUCAAAGUUUAGACCGGCUAACAAAACUAGAAAUUACUUGUUAAAAAAAAAAUAGAUAUGUGGGAACAAUUGAGCUAAAGAAGGUGAUUUAUUGACACGUGGAAAAUCAUUAGAAAUUACACACGCUUUGUGGGUCCUAUUUAAUGGUUAAAUAGUCGAACUGAGGUGGUUGCAAUUUAAUAAAACUUUUAAAAUUCUUUGCUAAGACAUGCAUCCAGCUUUAGGCCCCGUUUGAUAAUUGAUUUUUUGACCGUUAAGAAAAAAGUGGGAGUCACCUGUGAAAGAAGAAGUCAAACUUUACGGCUAAAAUAGUGAAAUAACAAUAAAAAAAUCAAUUUUUUUAAGUGAAAAAUCACUCUCAAACGGCCCCUUAAUAAACAUAUAACUAUUUAUUUAGAGGAAUGUACAUACAAAAUUUACAUAUUUGUAUUAUUUAAUUUUAUAUACACUUUAACGGUUAAGUGAAAACUAUAAUAACGAGAUCAAAAAAUUAUAAUAGUGAGAAAAUUAUGUAAUGUUAUAACAAUUGAGCUCAAAACUUGAAUGCUAAUUAUGUGUCGCUAAGUAAAAUUACACGAACAAAUGAAAAUUCACUUGAUAUUGAAUGUAAAAUUGUCACCACAUAAAUUUUGCUAUAAUAAUUGGAAGUGUACAUUGUUCGAUAAGGGUCUUUUUUCAAUAAAAAAAUUAAGAACUGAACUAGUCAAAUACAAAUUGAAAUCUCGCGAAUAUCUAUUAAUAAUUAACAUAAAUUAGUUCAGUAGUUGAUUUAGUGAAUGUUUGGUUGGUGUUGAAGUAAUAAUUUUAGCAAUUAUAAAUUGUAGUUUUAAUAGAAUUAAUGAAUAAUAAGUUAAUAGUAAUUAUGAAUCAAACAAACGCUUGUUUGAAUUUCAUUAUAAUAUAUGUAUCUAUUAAUAUUCAUUUAUUAUUUACAUAUUUCGUGAGACACAUUACUCAUUUUCACUGUAAUCACAUUACAACUUUUUUUCAAAUCAAAAGUAUUUAUGUUUGACUAAAAGUGAUUAUAUAAUAAAUCACCAACAAUUUAUGUAAGUAAUUGAAACAUUAGACUCUUUAAUAUCCAAUUUUAAAAUGCAGGAUUACUAAAUUUUAUCGAGACAAUCUAAAAUCGAAUUGGCUCGAGUUUUUCGUGAAGCCGAUUCUCCAAGUAGCAACUUUUUUCUUUUCUUCUUUUAUCAGGGGAAUGAAUUUGUAAAGUUCUCCUUGAUAUUAAUUUCUUGGAUUGUUGCUUUGUAAACAUUUAAAAAUUAUAUUUAUAUGAUAUUGUAAAUGUUACUCAAUGUUGUUGGGGAAAAUCCGUCGUAACCUUUCAUUGAACAGGAUUAAAAAAUAUGAUAUUCAAAUGUGGAAUAUGAAUGUCAAAAGCUGCCAUUGGCACUAAAAACGGUGACGAAAACAGAGAAAAAUAUUCAGAGGAACCAUGGCUAUUAAUCAUAACAUUUUCCCAACCUUCGGUAAAGUUUGUAGUUUAGGAUUCAUUCGAAUUCUUUAGGUCUAAGUUCACCAGCAAACAACAAUAUUUGGUAAACAAAGAUUUUCAUAAUUAUGUUUUAAUAAUUGUUAUUUUCCUUAAUAUUUCUUGCACUGAAAACAAAAGAGAAUUAUAGCCAAUUAAAAUAAACUCCUGUUUGGUAAAACUUUUUUCAAAUUUUGAGCAGUUCAUUUUUUUUUUUAACCACACAUUUUAUUGCACCCAACAUGCAUAAUUUCAAAAAGAGUAAUGUUAUUUAUAGUCGCUCACUGUCACAGAAACCCUAUAUGGUAUACACGUAACAGAUAGUGAUUUGACAUUAAAUCACUAACCAUCACGUGUAUGCCAUCUAGGAUAACUAUAGUAGUGAAUGACUGUAAAUAACAUUAAUCUUUCAAAAAUCUUUGACAAACAAUAGCUAAAGCAAUAUGUUCAAUUACUGAUCACAAGUACAGUUAAUAGUGAUUGGCAUGCAUUGAUGAGUGGAGGGACUCUGAACAUCAUCAUUUAGUACAAUUCAACAUACCAAUUUUUAACGUUAAACAUAUUGCAUUACACAACUCUAAUACGAAGUAACAAGCAUGUGUUUGUAAGCACGCAUAAGGACUUGAAACACGAAGUAACAAGCAUGUGUUUGUAAGCACGCAUAAGGACUUGAAACACUAAUCUCAUCCUCGAGUCCUUAGUAUCAUCCUUUAGCAUCAUAUAUAUACAUCUAGCUUCUCUUGCUCUAUCCCUUUUACAUUCUUUUAUUUUCCAUAUUCUUGUUACUUAUUUUUCAUUCUUCUGCGCUAAAUGAAGAUUGAAAACAUCAAUUUUACAAGACAACAGUAGUAUAAGGAUUAAAAAAUGAAAUUAAAAAUAAUUGAGCAACCUGAGUUUGCUCGGUAUAUUUAAUAUUAUUUUAUAAUGUCACACACUAACAGUCCUAAUAUCGUACAAUUUUAUAUUAAAAACAGUCAUUCUAUAGACUACACAUAUACUUGGAUACAAGAAGUCUAAUACAAUUGAUGUACAGAAAUUGAACGUAUAUAUAUUGAAGUUGUAUAUGACUUCAUCUCCAACAAAUAGACACUGAAUAUAUUAAAAAUUAGAAUUUUGCUACUUAGCCCGAAUGGUUAAAAUCCUUUCACAUGUUGUGGGUCUCACGUGAGUAAAAAAGUCCCAAAAAAAGUGGGGCCCCCGCUAUUGUGAGAGUCGGUCACUUCCUCCGUAAAAAAAAUUCGAGUACUAUAGUGGAAUAAUGCAAUUUCUUGUAUAAAAUUUGAUCCAAUUUUCUUGGGUCAUUUGCAAAAUAGUGUCGGGUCGCCAAAAUGAGGUAAGGAUUAGUAGUAAAGUCAAAUAGUGAGCAGUGAGUCAAGUUUGAUGAGUCGUUGCUUCCUUCCAACCAUUAAUUGUUAAUAAUAUCCUAAAUUAAUUAUCUAUUUCUUAUCCUAAACUUUUUUAGACUUUCAGACCAACUAACAAAACUAGAAAUAUUGAACGAACGCAGCAGCACACGCUUAGUGGGUCCGUUUAAUGGUUAACUAGUCUAAGAUGUGAUAUAGUCGGCUACGGUUGCAAUUUAUUCAACCUUUAAUUAGGAACGAAACAUGUACCUAACUACAAUAAACAUUUAUUAAUUAUAAUAGUACUACUGAAAGUACCGUUUUCAAUGAAGUAUCAAAUUUAUUUAAUUGUCAAUUUAUUUCACAUCCGUGUCGGUAAAAGCACUAGUGACAUUAGGGUUGGAUAAAACUUUCGAAUCGAAUCGAUUGAAUUUGAUCCGACUCAAAUUGAACCGAAUUGAGCAAUUCUUUUUAAAUUAAAUACCCAUUCGGGCAUUUAAAACGAGAACCGACGAGUUGGAUUCGAUUCUCAAUUCUAGAUUAUGAAACGAAGAAUCGAAUCUCCCUAAUUUUCUAAUUUAUUUAUUUUAAAUAAGUCAAAUUAUUUUUUUUUUAAAUAAAUCCGCUAACUAGUUAAUUUAACUCAAAAUAAGAAAUAUGAUUUUCCUAUUUUUAAUUUUCAAUCCAAGUCCAACUUAUAUAAAUUUUACUCAAACCUGUCAUUCUAUCAUAGUACCGUUUCUACCAUUCUGAAUAAAUCAAAUUGAAGCCCGAUGACACCUAUGUUUAUUAUUGUGAGCUCGGUAUCUUUGGGUCCAACCGGACCAUGUUCUACCCUAAGUGACAAUAAAUUAUAUGUUCAAUUAUAAAUACAAUGAAUUAUAAUAUAUUGGUACUAGAUAACAUUGUUCUAUAGAGAAAUGAGAUAGUGUUGCUACGUUGAGCUCAAAACUCAAGUGGCAAUUAAGUGCCAUUGAGUACAACUAAAUGGUGAAAAGGUGUCAUUACGAAAAAUUGCCAUGGAAACUAAGAGCGGACAUGAUGUGGUUCAUCCAGUUCCAAUAAAAGUUAGACAUUAUCAAACUCCAAUUGAUAUCUACUAAUAAUACCAAAAUGAUUCUACGCACACUGACAGAAAACAAAAAACAAAUGAACAAGAAUUCAGCGCUCUACCCUUAGAGAUGACUUCUGGAUGGAGGAGUGUAACUAAUAGGGGUUUAGAUUCGGGACCUCCGGAUAUCGGAGAACCAGUGUGCCUAGCGUACCGAACUCAAUUGAUUAAUUUCGAUUCAAUCUUGUAAGUGCGAAACUUGAGUCCAUACAUCAUCUUUUGACAUAUCUAUUCUUGUUUUAUCCACUUUUCUUAUUACAAUUUUGCUAAAUAAAAAGAAUGAGACGGUGCUUCCAACCAUUGGUUAUUGCUAUUAUCCUUAAUUAUCUUUUUCUUAUCCUAAAUGUUUCAAAGUUUAGACCGGCUAACAAAACUAGAAAUUACUUGUUAAAAAAAAAAAAAAAUGAUAGAUAUGUGGGAACAAUUGAGCUAAAGAAGGUGAUUUAUUGACACGUGGAAAAUCAUUAGAAAUUACACACGCUUUGUGGGUCCUAUUUAAUGGUUAAAUAGUCUAACUGAGGUGGUUGCAAUUUAAUAAAACUUUUAAAAUUCUUUGCUAAGACAUGCAUCCAGCUUUAGGUCCCGUUUGAUAAUUGAUUUUUGACCUUAAGAAAAAAGUGGGAGCCACCUGUGAGAGAAGAAGUCAAACUUUACGGCUGAAAUAGUGAAAUAACGGUCAAAAAAUCAAUUUUUUUAAAUGAAAAAUCACUCUCAAACGGCCCCUUACUAAACAUAUAACUAUUUAUUUAGAGGAAUGUACAUACAAAAUUUACAUAUUUGUAUUAUUUAAUUUUAUAUACACUUUAACUGUUAAGUGAAAACUAUAAUAACGAGAUCAAAAAAUUAUAAUAGUGAGAAAAUUAUGUAAUGUUAUAACAAUUGAGCUCAAAACUUGAAUGCUAAUUAUGUAUCGCUAAGUAAAAUUACACGAACAAAUGAAAAUUCACUUGAUAUUGAAAGUAAAAUUGUCACCACGUAAAUUUUGCCAUAAUAAUUGGAAGUGUACAUCGUUGGAUAAGGGUCUAUUUUUAAUUAAAAAAUUAAGAACUGAACUAGUCAAAUACAAAUUGAAAUCUAGCUAAUAUCUCUUAAUAAUUAACAUAAAUUAGUUCAAUGGUUGAUUUAGUGAAUGUUUUGUUGGUGUUUAAGUAAUAAUUUUAGCAAUUAUAAAUUGUAGGUUUAAUAGAAUUAAUGAGUAAUAAGUGAAUGAUAAUUAUGAAUCCAACAAACGCUUGUUUGAAUUUCAUUAUAAUAUAUAUAUACACUCUCCUUUUCACUGUAAUCACAUUACAACCUUUUUCAAAACAAAAGUAUUUAUGUUUGACUAAAAGUGAUUCUAUAAUAAAUCACCAACAAAUUCUUUAUGUAACAGGGACAUUAGACUCUUUAAUAUCCAAUUUUAAAAUGCAGUGUUAUAUAGCACUUUUUUUUUUCUUCGCUCUCCCAUCUUUCAAAUCCACACAUUAUAUAAAUAUUCGUACAUGGACUUCGAGACUAUUGUUAUACAUUUUUUAACAGAAGCCCUAGAUGGGUCUCACGUAGUAGUCCCACAUGGACAAAGUCCACAUGUGCGGACUCGCAGCCGCACCCUCGUGACAAGCCCAUAUUAUAGUUGAACUCAUGUGGUCGGACCCCUCAGGAAAGGGGGGCGAGGUUCUUUAGCAGAAGACUCUCCAAAAUCAAAUAUAUUGAAAUGAUGGAUGUGACACCUCCCUGCCAUCGUCGCUACAGUCAAUCUCUUUGGCCAAAUUUACUGCCACUGGCUACAAACUUAUGAAAGGAGAGUAGGUAUUAGCAUUAAUAUUUUGUGAUCGAUUGAUGCCCAUGAUGGGAAGCUAUACUCACAUGGAUGAGGCCACAUGUCUUAUCAUCCGAUGGUCCAUACUCGUUACCUCAUGCCAUAAAAGUUCACACUUAGUGUCAUUUAAAAGUAAUGCAAGUGUAGACUUUGAUAGCAUAAUUCAGCUUUUCAUUUUUCCUAAGAUCGACCCCCUUUAUUCUGCAUUGGAGACUCACAUCAAAGUCCUCCCACACUCAAUAUACAUUUUCUCCAACUAAUUUGAUCAUCGAAGUGCACGCGACCGUUUCCACCCCCAUCGAAAAGGGCCACAUGAGUCUAACAGGUUGCCUUAGUGUCUAGGAACACGACUUGUUUGAACGCGAGAAGUCUUGGAAUCUUAGAAUCUGUUGGCCACGUUAGGGGUGCAUCUUUUGAGGUCAACAUGCAGGAUUAAUAAAAUUUUAUUGAAACGAUAACUAAAUAUUUAUCAUUACUAACUAUUUAUUUACCCAUACAUUAAGGCACUGUUUGUGGCCCUUUAAUUUCAAAAAUUGGAGUGUGGAAUAGUGAUUGAUGUUGACAUGUGUGGUUGAAAUUUUUUUUAUUUAUAUAUAAUAUUAUUUUAAUAAAGAAUAUGUGGUUGAAAAUGAAUAUUGUAGAAAAAAUAAUGUGAUAGAAUGUGGGAGAAUGAUUGACAAACAAGGGCUAAGUUAAAUCCAUUGGCCGUUUUCUUUAAAAAAAACAUUUAGGCCCUGUUUGAUAGUUAGAAAUUUUCCAUGGAAAAUAGAAAAUAAAACUCAUUUUUCAUCUUUUGGCAGUUUAAUACCCUUUUUUCCCCAAGAAAUUCAUUUUCUUGGUUGUCUGGGGAAGCAGCAAUUUUCUAGGUUUUCCUCGAAUUAUAGGCCACUGUAGCGAUUUUAUUUUUUUUAAUUUUUUUUUACAAUGGAAACAAAUUUUAAGAAUUAUUGUAAAAAAAAUAUUUCUCUUUAAUUGACAAUUUUCAUGUAAAAUAAAGUCAAGCGAACACCAAAAGAUAGAUAUUUUCUUCAAUUUUUUUCUGGCAAAGAAAACAAAUUUCAUCUCAAUACCAGCAAAUUUCAACCAUUUGAUUGACAAUUUUCAUAUAAAACAAGCUCAAACGAACAUCAAAACAUACUUUUAUUUCAACCUUUUUUCACAUAAAAAAUUAUAUUAAUCAAACACGAUAAUUUAAAAUUUUCAAGAAAACAAUUUCUAGAUAUUUUAAUUUUCUAAAAUUCAUUUUAUUUCUAUCCAAAUUUAUCUUUGCAAUCAAACAUACGGUUAUAAUUUCCCCCAAAAAAAGAUAAAUGGGGACUCAUAUGAUUUUCUAGACUUUUUCAGUAAGUAGCCCCGUCCAUGAAGCUCCGGGCCAUGUGCAAACUUCAUUUUCGUUUGGUAUAAAAUAUUAUUUUUUCAACUACGAAAUGACGUCAUACGAUGUCGGCAAAAACUUGUCCUUAUUAGAUUACUCCACGUACUGUUACAUUUCAUUUUCCAUGCAAUACAUUAGUGACACCUACUCUCUAUCUCUCUCUCUCUCUCUCUCUCUCUCACUAACAGUUUUUUUUAAUCUUCGCCAGCUCUAUAUAACAGGUAGCCAUACCAGCUUUAAGGAUUCACAAAAUCAUCACACAACCUUGUAGCAAAACAAACAAAUACAUUCAAAAAACCCACCUGUUUUCAAUUAGUUCUCCAGUUAUUUACUCCCUUAGUUGCAAAAAAUUCAUAAAAUGGCUCGUGAUAUUCUCACCAGGACCGGCGCCGUUGGUGGUCUAGUUAAGGCCGCCAGUUUGUCUAGCCGUGCCUAUGUCACUUUCUUGGCAGGCAACGGAGACUAUGUGAAAGGAGUCGUGGGCUUGGCCAAGGGAUUGAGGAAAGUGAACACUGCGUACCCACUUGUGGUGGCUGUUCUACCGGACGUUCCGGAGGAGCACCGCCAGAUAUUGAUCAACCAGGGUUGCAUAGUGCGGGAAAUUGAACCGGUUUAUCCUCCGGAGAAUCAGACCCAGUUUGCCAUGGCUUAUUAUGUCAUCAACUACUCCAAGCUUCGGAUUUGGGAGGUAAAAAUCCUUGAAUUUUCUAGAAUCCAAUGGUCAUACUAUGCAAGUAUAUUUUGCACAUCAUAUGUUUGAUGAGAUGCUCAACAGAAUUAGUUUUUAAUUGCAGUUUGUGGAGUACAGCAAGAUGAUAUACUUGGAUGGAGACAUACAGGUGUUUGACAACAUAGAUCACCUCUUUGAUUUGCCAAAUGAGUAUUUCUAUGCUGUGAUGGACUGUUUUUGUGAGAAGACAUGGAGUCACACCCCACAAUUCAAGAUUGGGUAUUGCCAACAGUGCCCAGAUAAGGUCCAUUGGCCUCAAGAAUUGGGUCCUAAGCCUCCUCUCUAUUUCAAUGCCGGCAUGUUUGUCUUUGAACCAAGUCUUCCCACCUACCGUGAUCUCUUGCGCAAACUCAAGAUUACAACUCCAACUUCAUUUGCUGAGCAGGUAACAACACAGCCAUUAAUCAGAAAAUUCCUUGACAGGUAUUUCUAUGAAAUGAAAUUUAAAGUGUAUUAUAUGUUACGUUUGCAGGAUUUCUUGAACAUGUUCUUCAAGGAUAUUUACAAGCCAAUUCCCAGUAAUUACAACUUGGUUUUGGCAAUGCUGUGGCGCCAUCCCGAGAAUGUGAAGCUCGAUGAAGUUAAGGUGGUCCAUUACUGUGCCGCAGGCUCCAAACCAUGGAGGUACACUGGAGAAGAAGAAAACAUGGACAGAGAAGACAUCAAGAUGCUAGUCAACAAGUGGCGGGACAUUUAUAACGACGAGACAUUGAAUUACAAAAGGGUUCCCGGCCGUAAUGCUAAAUCGACACCGGCGCUGCUUACGGAGGCUGGUGUUGUUCAUUAUUUCACCGCCCCUUCGGCCGCUUAGUUGGUCCUUUUGGUUGCUUAAUUCGGUUUUGAAUCUCGAAGGCUACUGAGUAGUUGGAUUAGUUCAGUUUUACAUGAAGCUGGUCCAUUUUUUUCUUGUUCUUUUUAUUUCAGGGAACGAAUUUAUAAAGUUCUCCUUCACGCAGCUUUAAUUGCUGCUUUGUGAACAUUUUAAGAAUGUAUAAUAUGAUCUUUGUAAAUAUUAUUCGAUGUUGUAAACUUUUCAUUGUAUCGCAACCUGACAUUGAACAAGAUUAUAAAAUACAAUAUUCAAAUACAGAGUAUGAAUUGUUCAAUAAUGUCAAACCUUGUUUUUAGCCAUAAAAAACAAGAACGUGCAAAAACAGAAAAAUAUUCAGAGCAGUUAUGGCGUUAUUAACCAUAACAUUUUCCCGUCCUUUUGGUGAAGGUUGUGGUUUUAGGAUUUGACAUCCACUUCCCACAAAUUUGUUGGUUUGUUGGAAUUCUUUAGGUCUAACUGCACCAGCAAUCAACGAUCUUUAGUCGACAAAUAUUUGUUAUUUUACUUCAUUUUUCUUACCCAGAAAACAGAGAGAACUAUUUUCUUACCCAGAAAACAGAGAACUAUUUUCUUACCCGGAAAACAAAGAGAAUUAUUUUGCCAAGUAAAAUUACUCGUUUGAUGAACUUUUUUCAGAUUUUAAGGGGACCAAGCUAUAUGUUCAUCAUACAUUUCAUUGUUCCCCCACAAUUUUUAUUCAGAUUUUAAUCACACAUUUCAUUGGAACCGUCAUUUAUAAUCUCAAAAAUUUUCGUCAAGCUAAAGCAGCAAAGUUCAAUUGUCAAUAACAAUUACCAUCGAUAGUGAUUGUCAUCCAUUGGUGAAUAGAGGGACUAGGAACCUCAUUUAGUACAAUUCAACAUACCUAUUGCCAUUGCCACUGUCACACAUUUUAUUAUCGGAUUUAGGUACUUCUAAACCUCGCUCAAUCUCGACUAGAUGGCGUAUGUCUUACUGUAUGAGAUUGGAAGGCUUAGGGACCCAACCGGUGGAAGAAACUGUAGGCUCCAUCCAUCAUAGAACCAUUCUCAACCAAAUGUAAAUGUGGGGAGAUAAUUGGGGCAUGAUUUUGGCAAUUAUUCACGUCCCUAAGACGAUGCAAUUGGGACAUGAUUUUAGCAGUUAUUCACGUCCCUAAAAUGAUGAAAAAUAUGGACCACAUCUAGACCUUCAUGGAAGAAAAAACUAACAUUCUCCUCCUUGGUCCAUAUAUUCCAUCGUUCACCAUAGUAAGAAACAAAAUACAUGAAUCAUGGAGAUAGGCUCUCUAAGUACGAGUAUUAUCUUCCAUGUAUCACAAUACACCAUGUUUCUUAAACAUUAACCCAAAUUUCUUAAUGAAUAAACCAUAUGUUUAUUCUAGAUCCAAAUAUCAAUGAUAUUUCUCAAUAUUGAUGUGUACACAAGGAAAACCAAAUAUGAGAAAAUAUCACAAACAGAAUUUCAUAAACAUUCGUUCUUACAACGAAAAUCACAUAGAGAAACCAAGUCUUAUUUUAUCUACAUAAUCCUUAAAUCUUAAUGGUGGCAUGACUUUUGUCAAAGGAUCGACAAUUAUUAAUUCAAUAUUAACGUGUUCAAUGACCAUUAUUUUCUCUUGUUCUAUCCCUCUGACGUUCUUCUAUUUUUCGUAUUCUGGAUUACUUAUAUUUUUCUCUAUUACGCUAAAAGAAGAUUUGAAAUCAUCCAUUUUACAAGACAAUAGUGUAGUGCAAGGAUUAACAAAUGAAAUUAAAAAUAAUUGAGCAACCUAAAUUUGCUCUGUAUUUCACAGUGUUUAUAAUGUCACAUAUGAAUAGUCCUAAUGUCAUACGAUUACAUAGUAAGAGCAAUCAUGCUACACCUUCAUUUGGAUAGAAGUUUAAUACAAUUGAUGUACAAAACGUCAACGUAUCAAGGUUGUAAUGAAGAUGUAUAUAAUUUCAUCUCAAACAAAUAGACACUAAAUAUAUUAAGUCAUUAUUUGGUGGUUAUUAAAAUCAAAUUUUUAGUAGAUUUUGCUAGAAGUUGAUUAAAUGCGUUGUUGAAAAAUUGUGAGUUCCAUAAAAUAUAAAGUUAAAAUUAAAUGUUGACUUCAACUUGGAUUAAAAUCUUGACCAAAAAUUAUUUGGGUUACUAGAAAGUAAAUGCAAUUUCUUCCAUAAAAAAUUGAUCAUCCACCGUCCAAUUUUCUUGGAUCAUUUGCAAAGCAGCAUUGGGUCGCCCAAAAAAGUCAAAGAGUGAGCAGUGAGUCAAGUUGAUGAGUCGGUUUGCUUCCUUCCGACCGCAUUAAUCAUUAAUAAUAUCCUAAAUUAGGGCCCGUUUGGUAGGAAUUUUGAGAAUUAAUUUUUUGACCGUUAAAAGAAAAGUAGGGUCCACAUGUGAGAGAAGAAGUCAAAAAUUACGGCUUGAAUAGUAAAAUAACGAUCAAAAACAAAAAAUUGAUUUUUUGAGGCAAAAAAUCCCUACCAAACGGGGCCUUAAUUGUCUUUUUUCUUAUCCUAAACGUUUUUCUUUUAGGCUCUUAGUCCAUUUAAGACAUCUGUAACCUGAGUGGGUCCGUUUCCAUUUGGUCGGCUAUUAGUUGCGAGGAAAUAGGAGUGAAAGCAUUUAACGUUUUUGAUAAAGUGUGUCUANNNNNNNNNNNNNNNNNNNNNNNNNNNNNNNNNNNNNNNNNNNNNNNNNNNNNNNNNNNNNNNNNNNNNNNNNNNNNNNNNNNNNNNNNNNNNNNNNNNNNNNNNNNNNNNNNNNNNNNNNNNNNNNNNNNNNNNNNNNNNNNNNNNNNNNNNNNNNNNNNNNNNNNNNNNNNNNNNNNNNNNNNNNNNNNNNNNNNNNNNNNNNNNNNNNNNNNNNNNNNNNNNNNNNNNNNNNNNNNNNNNNNNNNNNNNNNNNNNNNNNNNNNNNNNNNNNUUUUUUUUUUUUUUUUUUUUUUUUUUUUUUUUUGCAAUGUAUAACUUUAUUUAAUGAUUUAAUAUUGUUGAGGGAGAAUCAAAAUAUGUAGAAAUUAUGUAGCACUGUGACAAUUGAUCUCAAAAUUCAAAUGCUAGUUCUGUGUCAUCAAGAACAAAUUUUAUAACAAAAAUUUGCUAUGGCAAUUUGUGAUGAACGUUAUAUGAUUCAUCCAAAUCUGGUGAGAAUUAAACUUUAUCGAACAAAGAUUUAUAUACCUCGAAUGAGAUUAAAUAAUUCUAUAUAUCGUGAUAACAGAAAACAAAAACUGAAUGAUUUCAGUACAGUCUAGUGAGCUUAAAGCACCAAACUUAAAUCCAUACCUCAUCCUCUGACACAUCAAUUCUCAUUUUAUCCACCCUUCUUAUUUUGAUUUUGCUAAAUGAAUGAGCAGUAAAAGUCAAAUAGUCAGCAGUGAUUGUUAAGGGAUAAAAGUUUGAGUUGUUAAAUUAUCUUUUUCUUAUCCUAAAUGUUUCAAAGUUUAGACCAACUAAAGUAGAAAUUACUAGCAGGCCCGUCUCCAGGGCAUAUCUCUCAGUGGCAAAGGGGAGGACGGAUAGGGCUCAGCGCGACAGUGUGCAGAGUUCUAUUCCCCGCAAAGUGGAAUUGGCUUUGUUGUAAGCCGGAGUUACCAUAUGGAUUAACAACCUUGGCCUAUCCAUAUGCUCUUCACCCUGGCUCCUGGGAGGCAUAUCCUACGAUUUACCUCCUCCACGAUGGCCGAGGACAGGGUCAGUGGGGGCCAUUAAGGUUGAGGUUCAACCUUUUUUUUUUUUUUUUUUACUAGCAGGCCCCCCACCUACAGGGGAGCGCCAUGUGGUGCCCAGUAGUACAGGGCACGCUUUGUGGGUCCCAUUUAUUGGGCUAGGUGCGAUUUGGUCAGUGACAGUUGCAAAUAAAAUUAUUUUCUAGGACCGAAACAUGCAAGUAACUUAAAUAAACCUUUAACUAUUUAUUCAACGUUAUUAAGAGCAAUGCNNNNNNNNNNNNNNNNNNNNNNNNNNNNNNNNNNNNNNNNNNNNNNNNNNNNNNNNNNNNNNNNNNNNNNNNNNNNNNNNNNNNNNNNNNNNNNNNNNNNNNNNNNNNNNNNNNNNNNNNNNNNNNNNNNNNNNNNNNNNNNNNNNNNNNNNNNNNNNNNNNNNNNNNNNNNNNNNNNNNNNNNNNNNNNNNNNNNNNNNNNNNNNNNNNNNNNNNNNNNNNNNNNNNNNNNNNNNNNNNNNNNNNNNNNNNNNNNNNNNNNNNNNNNNNNNNNNNNNNNNNNNNNNNNNNNNNNNNNNNNNNNNNNNNNNNNNNNNNNNNNNNNNNNNNNNNNNNNNNNNNNNNNNNNNNNNNNNNNNNNNNNNNNNNNNNNNNNNNNNNNNNNNNNNNNNNNNNNNAAAAAAAAAAAAAAAAAAAAAAAAAAAUAUAUAUAUAUAUAUAUAUAUAUAUAUAUAUAUAUAUAUGUACACACACACACACAAGAUUUAUAUAUUGUAUUGUUUGAUUUUAUAUAUGCUUUUAACAAUUUAAUGAAAAUCAUAGAUAUCAAAAAAUUAUAAUAGUUAAAAAAAUUACGUUGUGUUGUGAUAGUUGAGCUCAACACUUGAGUACUAAUUAUGUUUCACUAAGUAAAAUUACGCGAAUGGAUGAAAAUUCACUUGAAAUUGAAAAUAAAAUCGUCACCACAUAAAUUUUGCUAUGAUAAUUGGAGUGAACAUGGUUUAAUAAGAUCUUAAUCGAAUACCAUUUGAAAUCUUACGAAUAAUAACAAAUGGUUCUAUGUACAUUGAAAUGACAUGAUCAGAAAUGACUGGCUUCUAGUUUAAUUUUUCUUGUUUAUUUUCAUAUUUUUUUUAAUCUAUACAAUAAAUUGUUGAUAAAUGCGAAUAUGCAUUAAUAAUUAAGAUAAUUUAGUUUAGUAGUUAUUUAUUAGUGAAUGUUUGAUUGGAGUUUAAAUAAUGAUUUUAGUGAUAAGUUAUCGAUUUAACAUAAUUAAUGAAUAAUAAGUGGAGAGUAAUUGAAGAUCCAACAAAUGCUUGUAGGUUUGUGCAUUAGGUGAGUCGAUCUGGUUAUUUCAAUACCUAGAACCACACAUUAAACUUCGGAUAUUUCGUAAAUAAAACUAUUCAGGUCCUUGUAAUUAUUAAAACCAAAGCCAAUUCAUAUAGGUUCUUUCCAUAUGUAUACCUAUGAUAAUAUUUGACAAUAUUAUGCAAGGGAGAAAAUCUAGCUAAGAAAACUAGCCCCUGUUUGGCCCCCAUUACGGGGAAAAUUUAAUGUAUAGAAUAGUGUUUUUUGAAAAAUGAGUGGUUGAAAAAGAAAGAAAAAUUUUCGAUUUACGUGUAAUAUUAUUUUAUGGAAGAUUGUGUGGUUGAAAAUAGGAGAGAGAAAAAUAGAAUGUAAUGUAAUGAAAAUCAAACAAGGGCUAGCUACAUAACUCAAAACAUCAAAAGUUAAAUUACAAUUCGAGAAGAAAUAAUUGUUUCUUAAUAAAUUCAUUCGAAAUAUAAUGAAGCAUUCUAAAGCCUAUAUUUUUAAUUAUUGACAAUGCUUAAAUUCUUCUAUUUUGAAAAUGAAUUGACAUUAAAAAAAGUACUAUCCAGAUAUAUAAAUAUAUAGCAUCAUGAAAUUGAAAUCUACAUAAUGUACUCGCUCUUUUUGAUUAAAAGAGGAAAAACUAUAUUUCAAAAGAGAAACCCGAAGUCAAGAUAAUAAAAAAGAUACACCAUGGUCCAAAUUAUGAAUAUAUCAAGUUCAAUUGUCACUCAUUAUAUAAAAAUUAAAAAAACUUCAAAAAUUUGUAAAUAAUGCAAUAAAAUAAAAAGUUCGAAUUGCAAAGAAUGUAUGGUUUGAUUCAUCAACUUACAGCACAAUCCUAACUUAAACUUUCUUAUUCAUAGAAAUUUUAAAUUGCAAUGAUUAGCAUAUUAAUAACCUUUAAAAUACAAUAAUCUGAUUUAAAGCGAGAGGCAAAAAAUAAGAGUCAGUUAUGAUUUUUUAGGGCCAAAGUCCAGAGAUUUGAUAAAUUACUAUCGAAAUUAAAGUUUAUAGGUUUUACAAUUUUUUGUAUCUAGCCUAUAAAUUGUAAAAAGUAAAAAAAAUUAUAUAAAAAUUGAUUUCAUUCGGAUACUCACGAUUUUGAUUUAGUAAUCAAGAACCAACUCGAAACCAGUUAAUUCUUGAUUUUAGAUGUUAUUUUAUUUUUUGGAACCGAAACAUCUGGUUCCUAUUCUAUUUGGAUUCGAAAGGUUUGAUUUCAGUUAAAAUGUUCAAACUUAAAUGCUUGUUUAGAGUUCAUUAUAAUAUAUUUCUAAGGCUAUAAGAUAAAGUCAAAAAACUACUAUUCACAUAUUUUGUAGGACAUAUUACUCAUCUUCACUAUAUUCACAUUAUAUUUUUUUUAUCAAAUCAAAGUAUUCAUGUUUGACUAAGAGUGAUUAUAAAAUAAAUAACCAACACAUUAUAUAAUCAACCAAGAAAAUAGAACUUUUAAAUAUCCAAUUUUAAAAGAGAAAUGUUAUUUACUAUUGAUAUUAAAUUACAGUUUUAAUUAAACAUAAGGAAUUAUGAUCCAUUUAAUAGGUUAUAUUAUGAUAUGGGACACAUAAAUUGUUGUUGAGCACUACUAGUGUUAGAUAGUAUUAUUCAAUGAAAUGCAGGAUUAAAAUUUUUUUUAUCAAGACGAGCUAAAAUUACAUAUUAAAUACAUUUAAACACUAAUUUUGUUUACAUAUACAUUACGUUAAAUCCAUUGGCCCCUUACUUUAAAAAAAUAAAAAUAAAAAUAAAAAUAAAAAAUAAAAAAUUAUAAUUUCUCCAAAUAUAAAAUAAAUGGCGAAAAAUGAUUUUCUAGACUUCUUCAGUAGCACCGCCCCUGAAGCUCCAGGCCAUGUGCCCACUUCAUUUCGUUUCGUGUAAAAUGCCAUAAUUUUUUCAACUACGAAAUGACGUCAUACGAUGUCGGCAAAAACUUGUCCUUAUUAGAUUGGUCCACGUACUGUUACAUUUCAUGCAAUAUAUUAGUGACACCUUGUCCCUCUCUCUCUCUGUCACACUAACAUUUUUUAUUUUUUAAUCUUCGCCAACUCUAUAUAACAGGUUGCCAUACCGGCUACAAGAAUACGCAAACUCAUCACACAACCUUGGAGCAAAACAAACAAUUACAUUUGUAAAACCCACCUGUUUUCAAGUAGUUCUCUACUUAUUUACUCCCAUAGUUGCAAAAAAUUCAUAAAAUGGCUCGUGAUAUUGUAACCAGGACCGGCGCCGUUGGUGGUCUAGUUAAGGCCGCCAGUUUGUCUAGCCGUGCCUAUGUCACUUUCUUGGCGGGCAACGGAGACUAUGUGAAAGGAGUCGUAGGCUUGGCCAAGGGAUUGAGGAAAGUGAACACUGCGUACCCACUUGUGGUGGCUGUUCUGCCGGACGUUCCGGAGGAGCACCGCCAGAUAUUGAUCAAACAGGGUUGCAUAGUGCGGGAAAUUGAACCGGUUUAUCCUCCGGAAAAUCAAACACAGUUUGCCAUGGCUUAUUAUGUCAUCAACUACUCAAAGCUUCGGAUUUGGGAGGUAAAAAUCCUUGAAUUUUUCUAGAAUGAAAUGAUCAUACUAUGAAAGUAGAUUUUGCAUAUCAUAUGUUCGAUGAUAUGCUCAACAGAAUUAGUUUUUAAUUGCAGUUUGUGGAGUACAGCAAGAUGAUAUACUUGGAUGGAGACAUACAGGUUUUUGACAACAUAGAUCACCUCUUUGAUUUGCCAAAUGAGUAUUUCUAUGCUGUGAUGGACUGUUUUUGUGAGAAGACAUGGAGUCACACCCCACAAUUCAAGAUUGGGUAUUGCCAACAGUGCCCAGAUAAGGUCCAUUGGCCUCAAGAAUUGGGUCCUAGGCCUCCUCUCUAUUUCAAUGCUGGGAUGUUUGUCUUUGAACCAAGUCUCCCCACCUACCAUGAUCUCUUGCACAAACUCAAAAUUACUACUCCAACUUCAUUUGCUGAGCAGGUAAAAUAACACAGCCAUUAAUCAGAAAAUUCCUUGACAAGUAUUUCUAUGAAAUGAAAUUUAAAGUGUAUUAUAUGUUACAUUUGCAGGAUUUCUUGAACAUGUUCUUCAAAGAUAUUUACAAGCCAAUUCCCAAUAAUUACAACUUGGUUUUGGCAAUGCUGUGGCGCCAUCCCGAGAAUGUGAAGCUCGAUGAAGUUAAGGUGGUCCACUACUGUGCUGCAGGCUCCAAACCUUGGAGGUAUACUGGAGAAGAAGAAAACAUGGACAGAGAAGACAUCAAGAUGCUAGUGAAUAAGUGGCGGGACAUUUAUAACGACGAGACAUUGAAUUACAACAGGGGUCCCGGUCGUAGUGCUAAAUCGAUACCGGCGCUGCUUACGGAGGCUGGUGUUGUUCAUUAUAUCCCCGCUCCUUCGGCUGCUUAGUUUGGUCCUUUUGGUUGCUUAAUUCGGUUUUGAAUCUCGAAGGCUACUCUGAGUAGUUGGAUUAGUUCAGUUUUACAUGAAGCUGGUCCAUUUCUUUCUUAAUUCUUUUUUAUUUCAGGGAACGAGUUUAUAAAGUUCUCCUUCACGCAGCUUUAAUUGUUGCUUUUUAAAAUUUGUAAACAUUUUAAGAAUGUAUAGUAUGAUCUUUGUAAAUAUUACUCGAUGUUGUAAAGUGUUCAUGGUAUGGCAAAUAUUUUCUUCACCAUAAUUAUGCCUAAAUAUUUGUUAUUUUACUUCAUUUUUCUUACCGGGAAAACAAAGAGAAUUAUUUUGCCGUUCGAUAAAACUUCUUUCAGAUUUCAAGCGGACGAAACUAAUAUAUUCAUCAUACAUUUCGUUAAUCUAACAAUUUUUAUUCAGUUUUUAAUCACACAUUUCAUUGAACCUGUCUUUUUUAAUCUCAAAAAUCUUUGUCAAGCUAAGGCGGCAAGUUCAAUUGUCAAUAACAAUUACUAUCAAUAGUGAUUUGCAUGCAUCAUUGGUGAGUGGAGGGAAACCUCAUUUAGUAAAAUUCAACAUAUCAAUUUUUAACACAUUAAACAUAUUGUGUUACACAACUCUUAUACGAGGUAACAAGUAUGUGUUUGUAAGCACACGAAGGACCCUAAAACACUAAUCUCGACUCCGUAACAAACACACAUACAUGUCUAGCUUCUCUUGUUCUAUCCCUCUUACGUUCCUUUAUUUUUUGUAUUCUGGUUUACUUAUUUUUUUCUUCUACGCUAAAUGAAAGAUUGAAAUCAUCCUGUUUACAAGACAAUAGUGUAGUGCAAGGAUUAACAAAUGGAAUUAAAAACAAUUGAGGACAUAUUUAACAGAGUUUAUAAUGUCACAUAUGAAUAGUGCUAAUGUCAUAAGAUUACAUGGUAAGAGCAAUCAUGCUACACCUUUAUUUGGAUAGAAGUCUAAUACAAUUGAUGUACAAAACUUCAGCGUAUAUCAGGGCUGUAAUAACAAUUUCAUCUCAAACAAAUAGACAUUAAAUAUGUUAAGUCAGUAUUUGGUGGAGAUUAAAAUCAAAUUUUUAGUAGAUUUUGAUAGAAGUUAAUGAAACGUGUGUUGGAAAAGUUGUGAGUUUCAUGAAAAAUUUAUGGUUAAAAUUAAUUGUUGAGUUGGAUUUAACUAUCAAACAGGGCUAAAAAUUAUUUGGGUUACUAGAAAGUAAAUGCAAUUUCUUCCAUAAAAAAUUGAUCAUCCACCAUCCAAUUUUCUUGGAUCAUUUGCAAAGUGGCAUUGGGUCGCCCAAAUGAGUUAAGGAAGCGUAGUAAAAGUCAAAGAGUGAGCACUGAGUCAAGUUGAUGAGUCGGUUUGCUUCCUUCCAACCGCAUUAAUCAUUAAUAAUAUCCUAAAUUAAUUAUCUUUUUCUUAUCUAACAAAACUGGAAUAAUGCUCCUGUAACCUGAGUGGGUCCGUUUGGCUACGGUUGCAAUUUUUAAUCGAAUAAUGCUCCUUGUACACUCCAUGUUGUACAUGGAGUUUAACAUUGUUUGCAAAUUCUUGCAAAUUCUUGCAAAUUCAAAAAUGUAUGGACGGAAAAGUAUUUUUCAUUUUAAAACUGGUCAUUCGUUGUACGACAAGUGGCACAAUGUCAAACUUAAUGUUAAAGAAAAUAUACGUGUAGUUUUAAUCAACCUUUAAUUAGUUGCCUAGGAAGUAGGAAUGAAAACAUUUAUUAUUGAAAGUAACGUUUUUAAUAAAGUAUAUUUCCUUUUUCUUUUUUGCGUUGUAUAACUUUAUAUAAUGCUUUAAUAUUGUUGAGUGAAAAUCAAAAUAUGUAGAAAUUAUAUAGCACUGUCACAAUUGAUCUCAAAAUUCAAAUGUCAGUCAUGUGUCAUCGAGAACAAAUUACAUAACAAAAAUUUGCUAUGGCAAUUGUGGUGAACGUGAUAUGAUUCAUCCAACUUUGAUGAGAAUUAAACUUCAUCGAACAAAGAUUUACAUCUCUCGAAUAAGAUUAAAUAGUUCUAUAUAUCGUGACAAUAGAUAACAAAAAUUGAAUGAUUUCAGUACAGUUUCGUGAGCUUAAAGCACCAAACUUAAGUCCAUACGUCAUCCUUUAACACAUCAAUUCUCAUUUUAUCCACUCUUCUUAUUUUGAUUUUACUAAAUAAAUAAGCAGUAAAAGUCAAAUAGUCAGCAGGAUUGUUAAGGGGUAAAAGUUUGAGUUCUUAGUACUCAUUUAUCUUUUUCUUAUCCUAAACACGUUUCGAAGUUUAGACCAAUGAACUAAACUAUAAGUUACUAGAAGGCCCCCCACCUACAGGGGAGCGCCAUGUGGUGCCUAGUAGUACAGGGCACGCUUUGUGGGUCCUAUUUAUUGGUUUUGGUGCGAUUUGGUCGGUGACAGUUGCAAAUUAAUGAACCAUUAAUAAUUAAUAACCAAAUAAAAUUCUUUUCGAGGACCGAAACAUGCAAGUAACUUAAAUAAACCUUUUACUAUUUAUUCAACAUUAUUAGAGCAAUGCACAGAGCAAUAUUAAAAAAAAAAAAAAUUACAAAAUUUAUAUAUUGUAUUGUUUGAUUUUAUAAACACUUUAUAUUAAGACUUGAGGUCCAUCGGACCUCAAGUCUUAACAUAAUAUCUGAGCCACUACAUGAAUUUCAAGAUUGGUUUGCUCAAUUGAGCCACCAUCUUGAGGAGGCCUAUUAAGGAAUGUGUUAUCCCACAUUCAUUUAAUACCAAAAUAAAUAUCAAUUUAUAAAAAUCUUGAACUUCUCCACUUAAUAAGAUUAACCUUAUUAAGAUGGAUCUCAAAUCUUAACACUUUAACAGUUUAAUGAAAACUACAAAUAUCAAAAAAUUAUAAUAGUUAAAAAAUUACGUUGUGUUGUGACAAUUGAGCUCAACACUUGUGUACUAAUUAUGUCUCGCUAAGUAAAAUUACGCAUACAAAUGAAAAUUCACUUGAAAUUGAAAAUAAAAUUGUCGCCACAUAAAUUUUGCUAUGAUAAUUGGGGUGAACGUGGUUUGAUAAGAUAUUAAUAGAAUACCAUUUGAAAUCUCUCGAAUAGUAACAAAUGGUUCUAUGUACAGUGAAAUGACAUGAUCAGAAUUGAUUGGCUUCUAGUUUGAUUUUUCUUGUUUAAUUUCGUAUUUUUUUUUUGGUUGGAUUUUAGUGCAGUGGAUGAACCCGAAUUCAUUCAUAUCGUACAUAAACUUUACAUAUUAAAUUUAUACAUAUCGUAUAUGCAAUAUAUCAUAUAUACGUAUACCGUAUUCGCAGCAUACCGUAUAUCAAUAGCUUAGUAUACAGUAUAUGUUGUCUACCGUAUAUACAUAUAUUGUCUUUGGAUACUGAUUUUGCCUUACACAUACCAAAAUUGCAGAACACCGUGCCCUCGUUUAGCUCCUAUUCUUGCCAAAUUUUAAUGUUUUGAAUAGUAUUUUUUUGAAUAAUGUGUGGUUAAAAAAGAAUGAAAAUUUUUGAUUUGCGUGUAAUAUUAUUUUAUGGAAGAUUGUGUGGUUGAAAAUAAAAGAGAGAGAGAGAGAGAGAGAGAAUGAGAAUGAGAAUGGGGGUCGAACGGGGCGCGUAUAUGCAGUGAACAAGAUAAAAUCUAGCAAAUUUAAUUUUCAAUAGAAUAAACAAAUUAAUUUGAUCAACUAAUCUAGUUGGCCAAAUAACAUAGAUUAAUUUUUAAUAAACAUAAAUGGAAUGACAAAAUAAUAAAACUGGAAGUUAUAUGAAUCAUACAAAUAAAUUGCAGAAAUAUAUAAAUAACGGAUGAACUUUCAACUCGAGGCUGUGCGAGCAUUGUUUUUUUAAAACAGAUUCGCCCCCUAACCGUAAGCGCUUGAGAUUUAAUUCAAGCGUCUGUUUCUAAGGAUACAAUGGUAGACCAGUAGAAUCUGAGCACUGCAGAAUCUACUCUGACGAAUUGAUUAAUAUCCGAACAAUAUCAUCACCAAGACGAUGCUGACAGAAAAAUUAUGUAUGCAGACAGACUGAACUACAUUGUGAUGUAGAACAAUCUUUCUUUGUAUUUUGUAUAUGCACUAUUUUCGUGUGUUCUGGAAUUGCUGGAAAAUGAGAAUUUAUAUAAAUAAAUUUGCCAUUAACUCUAUAGCAAUAAAUAUUGGAGUCACUUCAGUUUCUAGGAGUUUUAGAAGUUUCAUAAACUCAAAUGUCAGUGGAGAAAGCAAAAAAAUUAAAAAAAAUUUGCAAAACGUGGACACUCCAAUCGGACCAAUUUUGCUCCGUUGGGUCCGACAUUCAUGUACGCAAGUCGUGCCCGCAUACAAGUUCAAGGUCUGAAUGCUAUUUCGGUCCAUGAUUUGUACCCCCUGCGUGUGCGCACAUGGAGAGAGCCUCUGUACUAUACAUGAUUACACCCUUCCAAUGUGCUAUCAUAUUUAAAGUGAUUCUUAUUUUCAUAUUUUUCCUAUGUGGGAAACUCAAUUUUUCUCACAUGAACCAUCUUCCAAUGGUAAACUUUGAGCUUCAAUUUCUCAUUCACCCGAGCUUCAUUUUUGGUAAGUAAAUAUAUGAUUUUGAUACUCUCACGAAAGAGAACAUGGAUCAACUUUGAUCUUCCAAAUUUAAGCAACGAGUCCCAUCAAAAAUUGUGCCAAAAGUGAGUCAUUUACUCAUUUUUUCCAACAAUAUCUAUACAAUAAAUUGUUGAUAAAUGCGAAUAUGCAUUAAUAAUUAAGAUAAUUUAGUUCAGUUGUUGAUUUGUUAGUGAAUGUUUGAUUGGAGUUUAAAUAAUAAUUUUAGUGAUAAGUUAUCGAUUUAACAUAAUUAACGAAUAAUAAGUGGAGAGUAAUUGAAGAUCCAACAAAUGCUUGUAGGUUUGCGCAUUAGGUGGGUCGAGCAGUGAUUGGCAUGCAUUGGUGAGUGGAGGGACUACGAAGGACAUCAUUUAGAACCAUUCCAUGUUGCAUUGGUGAGGUGAGGGACUACGAAGGACAUCAUUCAAAACAAUUCUAUAUACUAGUUAUGUACUUAUUAAUCACGUUACAUUGCAUAACUCUAAUACGAAGUAAUAAGCAUGUAUUUGUAAGCCUGGGUUUUGAUAUCCAAUAAUCCGAGCGAUAAUUUAAAACAGUUGUUGGAUUAUUUAUCGACAUCAUGGACUUGACUCGACUUGGAAAUAACCUAAACUUGUGGAUGGUCCAAGUGGUAGUUGGAUUAUUAGAUUUUAGGUUUUGGAUUAAUUGGUAGCCCAUUAGUUUAGGUUUUAAGAAGCCCAUUUGCACAAGUCUUUGGCCCAAGUUGUAUAUCUAACCUAUCCUAUAUAUACCCAUCUUCUUGCAGCCCUUUUUAUGGUGGUGUGUGGGUGUGUGUUGAGAGAGGGAGAGAGGGCCGAGAUAGAGAGGAGGUCGAGAGAGGUGAGGGGGCAACCAACUUGGUGGUUGUUGGAGUGAGCAACAUUGUUGCUUCUUCUUUUUCCUAUCACCACCACAUCCCUUCUCCUUUGUAGAGUUUGAGAGAGUUUGGGCAGUUCAAAGUGAAGGUGUAGCUCUUGGGUUGAGCCAAGGUAAAAUGGUGUUCGUUUGAAUUUUUUUAAUCCAAAAUCAAGAUUUAUUGAGGGAUUUCCGCUACAGCCUGCAUAAGUGCUUAAAACAACUUAACCUCGAGUCUGCAGUGUAGUGUCACUACAACAAAAAUAACUUUUUACAACAUUCAAAAAACAUUGCUAAAGACCUUUUGCAACGUUCGAUCGCAUGUUGCAAAUUUGGAUGUUGCCGUAGAGUAGAAGGAUAGAACAACGUUUUUCAGACGUUGCAAUAAACCCAUUAGCAACGUUUUUCAAACGUUGCCAAAACCAUUUUGCAAUGUUUAAAAACCCUUUCGCAAUGUUUUUUGAACGUUGCAAAAAAAAAAAAAACAUUUCUUAACGUCUGAAUGUUGUAAAAAACAUUUUCGCAACGUUUUUUUGACCGUUGCCAUAAGGUUUUUUUCAGCAAUUUAUGUAAAUUGACUCGUAAAAUUGAAAAAGACUCAUUUCAAAUAAAUUUUGAAAUUGCAUAAAAAUUGAUAAUUUCAUUACAAAUUUUUGAAUCUAUACAUUUGAACAUUAGAAUGUCAUACACUACCACCUAAAUAAAAAGGAGCUUCAAAAUGAAACAAAAUUAGGAAUAAAAUUUUGAUACAGCUUAGGCACGAAAAGCUUAUUGCCACACUUGCAAUAUCAAGCUUCUGGAUAAUACUCUAAUGGCAUACUCAAUCCUGUCGUUCUUCAUGCAUUCUUCGAUUUGCUCGCCAUUCAAUUCAUGAUGGCCAACGAAGCUACAAAAGAAGCAUUGAAUCAAUAAGAAAAAUGUCUGUGUUUGAAUUUCAAUCAAAUGAUAUGUUAUUUACCGUUUCUACAAAAUUGACACAUGGAAAAACAACUACCUGAAAAAUUGACACCAUAUACAUUAGAGUUCAUCAAAAGAUUCCUUAGAAGAUUUAAUACACUAACUGAACUAAAAAUAAAUUUCCAAGUCAUGCCUUAAUAGUUGUGCUAUUUUGAAAUGAUUGUAUUUGAUUUUUCCCAAAGAAGAACGGAAAGAAAUAAAUGAACAUACAGUUCUUCCAAGGCCUCUAGUAACAAGUGGAUCGCAUUGGAUAACACCAUAUCUUCUGCUAAAGUUCCUGCACAAAGAGAAGCUAUUAAGCACUAUUGAAGACUUGAAGCAACAAAAAGAAAGCUUGCUUAUAAGACAGAAGAAUUUUUAAAAAAAAAAAAAAGAAAAGAAAAGAAAGAAAAACUUAAUUUGUUUCUUUUUGUACAGUCACUGUUCUAACUCCACUCAGCGCGACCUACGUGCAUCGUGUCGAACCAAAGAUAGACACUGCAUAUACUAAAAAUUCUGAAAAGUAAAUGAAUAUUGUUAAAUAAAAUUUGAUCAAUUUUUUCUUGGAUCAUUUGCAUCGAAUCGCCCAAAUGAAUUACUAGUUGUUGACCUCGAUUUUUGCACGAGUGACUGGUCAAUAGAUCCUAACUCCACUCAUGUCUACAUUGUAUUUCUCCUAUACCCUUGAACAAACGGUUAAGAACAAGUGGCCUUCUCCGAAUAUGAGAGAGGCGACCUUGUGCACUCCGCCGGUCUUUGAGAAUAUAUGAUUAAAGUAGAAAAUUUUAUGGGUUUAUGUGCAAAAUUAUUUAAUUUGGGAAUUUAUUUUUUCUAAAGAAUGUGUUCCAAACAUGGACUAAUAUGCCAUUGACCUUUCAUUGCAUGCGUUGAUAAACGAAAAAGUGUGAUAAGUCAAGGAAUCCAUUACCUUAACAAUCAGUAAAAUUAUAUAUAUAUAUAUAUCUUUUAUCAUUUCCUUUUUCUUUUUCAUUUUUCUUUUUCAUAAUCUGUAUAUUCAACUCCUCCGAAGUGAUUUUUUUUUUUUGACUUUUCCUCAACUAUAUUUUAAUCUUUGCAAAUCAGUGUAGUAUUGCAUAGACUAUUUCUUAAUUAGAGAACAUAUUUAUUAAAAAUGAAUCGCAACAGUAAAAUAGUGAGUAUUGAGGGGUACACGUUUGAGUGGAUCUUUCCUGCCGUUGAUUAUUGAUAAGUGUGUUUUACACACUUAUUUUGACCAUAAAAUAUGGAUAAUUGUUGAUAAAUAUGUUAAAAUAUAGCUUAACUAUCGAUGAAUAUGGUGGAAUGUAAGGAAAACAAGCCAAAAAGGACCCAAAUGGGAAAAAAAAAAUUCAGGAACCAAAACUCAAAUAGACGAACGAAAGACAACCCAAAAGUGGAAACGAAGAUAUGAAAGGGUCAAUGACCAGUUUAGUGAAAACAUAAAGUAUUGGAAGAAUACAAAAUGAGAAAAUAGGUCAAGAAACGAGAAAACAGAGUUCGGUGACUAAAAUGCAAAGAUUGAAUUUUUGCUUGAACUGCACUAUAGCAUAGUUAUUUCUUCAAUGCAGUAGCACAUCUAUUUUCAACAAGUUUUAGGGCCAAAAUCCAUUGAACUAUGCUAUUGCGUUGAUUUACAAAUCCGGCAGGAAAAAUCUAGUUUCAUUAUUUGAUUAAAACUUCUAUAAAAACCAGUUUUGAGACAUCUUUUAAAGCCCUAAGGCUGUUCCGAAGGGAUUAAGAAGCAUUCUAACAUAUUUUUAAGAGUUUUAGAACGUAGAAGGAAGAGAGAAACAUGAAGAUCGACCCAAAGACGCGAAGAUCCAAUUCAAGAAUUAAUUGGGUGAUGUCCUUUCUCCAAUAUUUCUUUUUGUUUUCUUAUUUCCACCAUGUUAUGUUAGAUUUAUAUGUGCUAGGAGAACGAUAAACUAUGUGAUAUGAUAUUUUAAUCUUUAGUUUUACAUUUUUGACAUUAAAUCACCUUUUUGGAGUUUGAAUUAUUUAUAUGAAUUUAUUUUCUUUACAAUUGUUGUGCACAUGAUUGUGUGAAUUUGGUGACUUGUUUCGUGCAUUCGAAAGAAGGGGAAUGGACUCGACAUGAUAUAAAAUCAUCGUAGGGUCCGAUAGGGGGAUGAAAAUAUAUGGCUAUACUCUAUGUGAAUCUUUAAGUGUUCAUAAAAAUUCAUGCAUUCUUGUGUAUUUGCAUCCGUCAUAGAAAUAUAGUCGGAUCGUAUAUGAGAAUAUGUUUAACAAUACUCGAGAGAGAUUGUUGAAUAAAAUAGAAACAUUGAUUCGUCAAAAUUCAAUCGUGUUGUCAAAAUAUAAAAUUAAGUUUAAAAAUGAUUAUUGCAUAGGUAUUUGCGAUUCUAGUACGUUCGUCAUUCAUUAAAGACAUCAACUUGCAUUUAAACACCACUUGCAUUUAGUUUAGUUAAUUCAUUCAUAAUUGUAUAUGUAGUUUAUUUUAGUUAUUAUUUCACCACAACAAAUACAUUCUUAUCAUUCUUGUUUUGGUUAAGAUCAAGAUUAUAAAAAUUGAACUAAAUCAACCAUUGUGGGACGAUAUUCGGACUCAAAAUUCACUUAUUACUUGUUAAUGAACCGUACACUUUCAAUGAUUUAAAUCGAAGGAUAUUUUCGUGAACAAUUAUCAAUCCAUCAUUAUCUUGAAUUGUUAUCCUAAAAGCUUUAGACUUGGGGACCAACUAACAUGAGUAUAAAAGUUGUAAAAUGUAGUAGAUAGUAGAAUGUGGAAAAGAGUAAGAAUUAUUGUGGAUGUGUGAAAAAAAUUGUGAAAUGGAUUAGCUUAUUAUAGAAUAAAAUAAAAUAAAAAAUUAAAACGCCAAACGGCUACUUUAAAAAAUUAAAAAAUUAAUAGUUCAGUGCAACGGCUAUUGAAGUAAUCGUCUUGGUCAUUGUAAAUAGCGAUGGCUCGCCGAGCCUGCUCAAUAAAGGUUAAAAUAAAAUUUUAUAUACAUGAAUUCUAAAAAUUCUAAAGAAACAAAAGUAUAAAAUUCUAAAAUUUUAAAACAAUUACAAAUAACUAAAAAUAAUUUAUUUUUUUUAAAAGUUCAAUUUCUUAAUAGUUAUUUAAUAAAAAAAUCUUAAAAACAUAUUUAAAAAAAUUCAAAGUAUACAUCUUUAUUUCUUAUUUUUGUAUUUUGCCAACUCAAUUUAUUAUUUGUUUUUGUUUUACUUUUGUCAAGAAAAUAUUGUAAAAUUUUUCAGCUUUAUAAUGUAUAUAUUAUUUGAGAAAAUUGUUCUGUUUUACUGAAUAAUCAAAUUUCACAAAAAAAAAAUGUCAUAAAAUAAUUUAUACAAAUUCCAAAUCAAACACUUUUUUUCUUUCUUUUUUCUUUUUUUGACAAAUAGUCUUAUAGAAUGAUAAAUUAAAUGUAUUUUAACAAUCUUAGAAUAGAUUCUCAAACCAAAAACUAAAAAUGGGAGCAAAAUUUCAAAGGAUUAAUAGCAGAAAAUACUCCUAAAAAUGUUUCUAUGUACGAAAUACCUCCCUAUUGAAAAUCGUAAAAAAGCCUCACGUUUGAAUCCUUUUGUGUGAAAACCCCAUGUUCUCAAAAACCUUUAGAGCCCGUUUGGGAGUAAUUUUUCAUCCCAAAAAAUUGAUUUUUGACCGUUAUUUCAUUAUUUCAACCGUCAUUUUUUACUUUUUCUCUUACGGAUGGCCCUCACUUUUUUCGUAACGAUCAAAAAAUCAAUUCUCAAAAUCCCUACCAAACAAGUCCUUAGAUUAAACGUUAAAACAGUAAAAAAUGUCAAAAUUAAAAAUGAAUAAUUGUAAUUUUAGUACCCAAGUUUUUUUUUUUUAACAAAUUAAAUCUAAAUUUUUUAUAUGUGCCAUCGACGGUCUCAAAUAUUUAAAACUUUAUUUUUCACUACACUCACCCAACCCACCCCACACUAUCCCUCUUCAUCUUGUUUCCCAAAAAUAAAAAAACCAAAAAAUAACAUAGUUCUCUCCGCUUCUAAGAUUUUAACUGUGGCCAGUAGCCCAAUUACUUUCUUCCUUGGCAGAAAAAGUCACAGCGUGAAACCAUGGGAUCUGGGUUUGUUAUUUCGGGAAGGAGAAUCCUCACAAAUGCCAACAUUUGUGCUUUUAAGGAAGCAUGGUUUUCCUAUCGAACUCAUAUUUGAAUCUCAUUAAAUUACAUUUCAUUUUUUUUAUUUUAUUUUCAGUCAUACAAUUUUUUAUAAAAUAAUAUUACACGUAAAAUGAAAUUUUUUUUCUUUUCUCAAUUAUUCAUUUUUUAAAAGAAUACCAUUCUAUCUAUUUUCAUUUAAAAAAAGUGAGGGCCAAACUGGGCGAUCACAGGGCAAAAGUCAAAGCUGUCGGUCAUGAGUGAGAUUUCACUAUUCUUGUGGUUGAGAAUAAAGAACUCUGGGCCCCAAUGAACUUUCUGGAGCUUGGUGACGUUCCUUUCCUUCAAGAAGCUGUGGCUGUUGUUGGUGAUCCUCGGCGAGGGGACAAACAUUACUAUGCAGCGAUUUUUGGGAAGGACGUGUGUGUCCUGUGGGGGUGGUGUUGAAAAGUAAAGUUUUUAAGAUUUAGGAUUGUAAGUUGCACAUAUAAAAAAUUUGGAUUUAAUCCCUAAAAAAAAGAAAAAAAAGAAAAAAGGGGUUUGGGCACUGAAAUUGUAAUUAUUCCUUUUUUACUUUUGACAUUUUUUACUGUUUUUAACGACAAGUUUGAUGAAUAUUGACGAUAGGAAGAUUUUUCGCACAAAAGGUUUCAAAUCGGGAGGUUUCCGACAAGUUUCAAUAGGUAGGAAGAUAUAUUAUGUUCUUGUUUGAGCCCCAUUUUAAGGGAAUAAUACAUUUUUAAAUGGUGAUUGAUGGAUAAUGUGUGGUUAAAAAAUAAAGAAAAGUUUUGGAUGUGCAUGUAAUAUUACUUUAUUAAACAAUAUAUGAUUGAAAAUGAGUUUUGAAAAAAUGAAUUUUGAGAAGAAUGGGGCUCAAACAAUACAUGAAAACGUUUCUAAGGAGAUUUUCUGCUAUUAAAUCAAAUUUAAAACUUAAAAUUUUAGGGGGCUUUUUUGCCCCAUUAUUUGUGAAUAAUGUAUUAUGAAAUAGUGAUUGAUAUUAAAAUGUGUGGUUAAAAAAAUAAAAAAAAUUAAUUUACGUGUGAUAUUAUUUUAAUGAAAAAUGUGUGAUUGAAAAGAGUACUGUAGAGAAAAUAAUGUAGAAGAAUGAUAGACAAACGCACACUUAAAUACAAAUCAAUAAGCCCCAAAACACGGAACAUUUCCGUUCCUCAUAUUCUGCAAUUUUUACGCCCUCAUAUCUGCAGUCAUAUGCACAUGCUUAGUUGGUCCACCUCUAAGUGACACAUGUAAGCCGGUUGAAUAGGUUUGGUCCAAUAACUGUACCAGGUCAAGUGUUGACACGACAAGUUUGUUAAAAGCAGUUAAUAUUAUUAGAAGAGUAAUACUAAGGAAAUAAACAAGAAUCAUGCCUCACGUAUAGGGCAGAGGCUCCUCUAUCGGACCGACACAAGGGGCGGGUCCGUGUGAUUUUUUUUAAUGCAGGUCGGACCCACCAACCUGUCAUCUACAGUGAUGGACAUUAUUCAAUAAACAAAAACAAAAAAAAAAAUUUUGAGCAACAAAGGAUGUUAAUUAUAAGGAUAAUGCUAUUUAUACAUCAUGUGGUGUCCAUUUUGAUGUCUACCUUUCUCAUGUGGAAGGGGACCAUUUUGAAUAAAUCAUAUUUUAAUUACAAUAGGCCCCCUCCAUGUGGGGGGGGGGGGGGCUACCCCAAUGUGUAUGUAGCGUGACCCUAAUUAUUAAUAGUUUCCACUAUUUUGGUAAAGGAGACGCAUAUGGUGCACGCCAUUUCAUUACUUCAAAUUCUUCGGCUCCAAAAUACAAUACAAAUAACAAAUCAAUCAUCGAUUUCGGUUUUUCUUGUUUUUAAAUAAAUGAUGAGCUAACGAUAAUCGAUCAUCAAAAUCAACUAAAUAUUAUCAAUCUUUUGUGGUCAAUAUCAUGAUCAACUGCUUCAACAAAAUUAUUAUCCUAAAUUAUCUUUUUCUGAUCCUAAACGUUUUUAGACCAACUAACAGACCUGCAAAUGUUCAACAUAUGACCCACAGUAGUGCUGAGGAAGGUGCUUUAUAGACACGUGGCACAAUCUCGUCCCUUUAAAUGAUGAAAAAUUUGUGUAACCUGUCAAGCUAAUAUACACACUUUUAGUGGGUCCUACCUUUAAGUGACACCUUUAGGUCCGUUAAUGGUUAACCGAUUUUGGUCGGUGACAGUUGCCGUGUGACGGUUGCCGUUGGUCCAACGCUUCAACUGUAGUUGUAAUUAAUCAAAUAAAAUUCUUUUGUAGUUACCUCGGAGAGAAACAUAUAGAAUUAGGUGCACCUUAGUCCAAUAAACAUUCAUUAUUUAUUCAAAACUAUUGAGAGUAACGUGUUGAACGGUAUUUUUGUGUUAUUGUGUUUAAUGCUUUGUGAAAAUUAUAGUAACUUACAUAGUAUUACACUAAUUGAGCUCAAAAUUCGAGUGCCAAUUAUGCGUUACUAAGUAAAAUUACGUGACGAAACGAUUAGUGACUUGACAUUAAAGGAUAAUACAAUGUGUAAAAUUUGUAAUGACAAUUAAGAGUAAAUAUAGUUUGAUUCGUCUAGCUCUUAUGAGAAGCGAAUUAAACUAAAUAUGAGUGGAAUUCUACUCAUGGACCAAACGAAACCAAAAUUGAUUGAUUUAAUUUAUCGUGGUUUUAAUUCUUUUUAUGAUUCAUAAAAACACAAAGUAUAUAUUCAUAUGAUAUAAUAUAGUACAUAAUGUUUCUUUUAAUCUAUUCAAUUUUGAUUUUUCUUGUUUUUUGAUUCAAGUUUAUUCUAUCAUUGUUCUUUAAUGAAAAUGCUUGACAAAUCUUAUCGUCCCUUAUUUUUCAUUAACGUUAACCAUUUGAUUCAAAAGUUUAAUCGUUCAUUGUUUUUAAUCAAAACCUGAUACAUGAACAAUUUCUUUAAAUCGACAGCGUCAACAUGGUGAAAUAUGAGUUUCAAGACAUUUCUCUACUUUAAAAUCAUAUCACAUGAUUAAAGAGUUUAAAUUGUUAGAUAUGAUUGCAUAUUAUUAUUUAAAUGUUGUAGUCAACUUACUCUUGUUUAAGAUUGAAAACACUCAUUUAAUAGUCCAUCUUCCCUUCUACUUUUUCUGGUUUUCUCCAUCUAGUGUGCUCGAUUUUCCUUAUUCUACACUAGAUGUGAGAAAAAUUGUGUUAUCUUUCUUCAAUAUUAAUGAAAACGCCUAUUUCAUGAGACAUCAAUUAAGACUAUACAAGUUUAUUAUUAUUAUUAUUAUUAUUUUAAACUUUACUAAAAAAUCCAAUAUUCCUGGAUUGAGAAAGAUAAGCGAACUAUUGUUUACAAUAUAUAAUUUCGGGUCAAGUAAUCCCAAUAUAACAUGUAUUGAUCAUCGAACUCAACUAUAGUUUGAGGUUUCUAAUUUUGAGAGUAUUCUAAAUUUCCGUCUAGAAGAUUUCGCCUCUGUUUGUCAUCAUUUUUUAAAAUUUAUUUAACUCAUUUUCAAUUACAUAUUACAUGAAAUCAACCAUUUAUAAUAACUUUUUCACCAUAUAUUUCAUCAAUUUUUAUCUAAAUUUACUAUAAAAAAAAAUCUUAUUUUCAUUUAAACCAAACAUCGACUAAUUCUAAAUUAUCUAUAAAUAUAUAUUAUAAUAUAUAUGUCAAGACCACCUUCAUAAUUUUUCUCGUAAAUUCUUAUAAUCAACUACUGAUAUACGGCACCAAUAUUUUCAACUUUCUCACUGGACCAUUUCGUAAUUCUAGAAAAACAUUAGGUAGAAAAGUCAGUCAGUUAGCCGUGACUAUCGAUUCGAUGAGUGAUGAGUCAGUACUUUUUUCCAACAAUUAAUUGUGAAUAUUAUCUUUUCCUUAUCCCAUCUUAUCCAAAAUAAAAUAUAGAAUUAAGACCAACUAAUAAAUGUUGAACAAGGUGGUGCUUUAUGUCUACGUGGCACAAUCUUUUCCCUUAAAAGUUACGCGGAAUUAACUGGGAGCCGUAAAGAUGUCCCACGUUUCACGUUUGGUUGUCUCGGGACCCACCUCCACCCACUAUUGUAACUAACGCGUGUGGGGUCCACUUAAUGGGUUACGAUUUGGUCGGCGACGGUUGCCAAUACCCCGUUUGGCCCCCCAGUCUCUCUCUCUAUUAUUUUAACUAUAAAAUCUUUCGUAAAAUAAUAUUAUACGUAAAUCCAAAAUUUCAUUUUUUUUCAACCACACAUUCUUCAAAAAACUAUUGAAUUUGACAGUACUUGAACGAAUUUUACAUUUACAAGAGAAGUCCAAGAAAUAGAUUUUAAUUAGGUCUCUUUUAUGCAUCUGUUAAGAAAAUUAACAACUUUUUACAUGACUAUUUACGACCUCAAUGUGUAGGGUUAAAAAUAUUGAUUUGGUAGCAACAUUAUCAAAGUCACAUUUGAACUUAAUAAAUUGAAAUGAUAAAAUUUGGAAAACCAUUGAAGUUGAGAGAUUAGAUUGCAAUUUUAUUUAACAUCGAGUGGAACCCCGACAAAAUAGUACGUGGAUCUAACCAUAGAGAAUUCACAUGAAGAAAGGUGAGGAACAUAGUUAGAUAGAGUGCCAAAAUGAACGGUUAAGCUCCAAAUAAUCCAUCAAUAGCCUUAACUGGCGCGACUUGUAGCCACAUCGAGAUUGACCCCUUAUGUUUAACAGUCUAGGCCAGUACGGACUAUUAAAAUUUUUAGCGUACUCAAACCACAUGCAUUGGUCAGUCCGAAAAGCAUGUCGAUCCUUCUCGAAUUGAAUUGAACCGUAUUUUGUGUCUACUAGUCAACGUUGAUCGUGCAACACACGUUAUUAUGAAGUGUUUUAAAAGUGCUAUAAAAUUAAUAUUUGAAUAUGUAUGAAUGUUAAUUAAUUUAGAAUCAAUAUCGAGGAAUAUAUACGUGACAAUGAAUAUUAAAUCAUUUAUUUAAUUUCUAAUUAAGUAAAACUGGAUGUUAAUUAGCAUAUAUUGACGUGAAUAAUGAACUGCACUUGAAAUUCUAAUUAACUUAGAAUUAAUGAAAUUAAAAUACAUUAAUGAAGAUUGAAUACUAAUUAAAUGAACGUGAAUGUUAAUUAAUUGAGAAUUAAAAAUUGAUAAUUCAUACAUUAAUGAAAGUAUACAUGUAAAAUGGAUGUGUCAAAUAUACUUGUACAUUGAUGGCAACUAAAUAAUUAAAUAAAUAAAAUACGUAUUAAAAAAUAAAAAGUAACGUAUUAUUGAAAUAAUUUAUUAUAGAAAGCUAGAAUCAUCCAAAAAAAAGAUUCACACCUGACGUGAUAUUUACGAAAUGCUUUAUAAGUACUAUAGAAGUAAUAUUUGAAUAUGCGUGAAUGUUAAUUAAUUUUUAAUUAAUAUCAUGGAACAUAUUUAUGUGUGACAAUAAAUGUUAAAUCAUUUAUUUAUUUACUAACUAAGUAAAACUGGAUGUUAAUUAGCAUAUAUUGACCUGAAUAAUGAAAUGCACUUGAAAUUCUAAUUAACUUAUAAGUAAUGAAAUUGAAAUGCAUUAAUGAAGAUGAAUACUAAUUAAAUGAAUGUGAAUGUUAAUUAGUUGAGAAUUAAAAAUUGAUAAUUCAUACAUCAAUGAAAGUGUACAUGUGAUAUGAAUCUGUCAAGAAUACGUGUACAUUGAUGGUAACUAAACAAUUAAAUAAAUUAAAUAUAUGUUGAAAAAUGAAAAGUGAGGCAUUAUUGAAAUAAUUGUUCAUAACAAGUUAAAAUCAUCAAAUAAAUUAUUCUCACUUGAUGUGAUAUUUAUUAAAUGCUUUACAAGUACUAUAAAAAAAACUGAAUGUUAAUUAGCAUAUAUUGACGUGAAUGAUGAAAUGCACUUGAAAUUCUAAUUAAGUUUUAAUUAAUGAAAUUGAAAUACAUUAAUGAGGAUAAAUAUUAAUAAAGCCCCCGGUACCCAUUUUUUUCAAAAUGCAUUUUUUUCUCUCUUCUUUUUAUCCACACAUUUUUUAUUAAAAUAAUAUUAUAGGUAAAUAAAAAACUUUCCCUUAUUUUUCAAUCACAUACUUCCCAUCAAGUUACUAUUCUAAAAUGCACUUUUACCUAAAAAUGGCAAUUAAACACCCCCUAAAUGAAUGUUAAUUGAGAAUUAAAUAUACAUGUACAUUAAUGGUAACUAAAUAAUUAAGCCUCCAUUUGUCCUCAUUAAAUUACAUUUUUUUCUCUUCUAUUUUCAACUACAUAAUCUUUUAUAAAAUAAUAUUAUACGUAAAUCGAAAAAAUUUCCUUCCUUUUUAACCACUCAUUUUUUAAAAAAAAAAUACUAUUCCCCUCAUUUUCAUUUCACAAAAUGGGGAACAAACGGGGCUAAAUAAAUUAAAUACAUAGUAAAAAAAAAAAAAAAGGUAUUAUUGAAAUAAUUGAAUUACAGUAAGACUAUAAUUAGUUAAAAAAUAAUUCUCACUUGAUGUGAUAUUUAAUAUAUUAUAUAUUUAUUAAAUUGCAAAAAAAUAAAAAAAAUUCAAAUGCAAUUAUUUAGUGGAUAAACAUUCAAAGAAAAUUAUUGUUUGAAGAGUUUCAAGGCAAAAUUUGAAACUCCAAGGCGGAAUGAACCCAAACUUCUUUCCCUCAAUGAAUUUAAUUUAGUCAAAUCCAAAGUCAGAAUCGACCCGUUGAUUAAGGCAAGAUAUGUGAUUAAAAAUAAAAAAAAAAUAUGAAUCCCAAAAAAUAAAUUUUAAAUUUAAUUAAAAUAUUUAUCAAAAUUUAAAGCAAAUCUGAGGCUAAACUUUAUAUAAUUUAUUAUACUUUUCGUUACAAAUAGAACGAAAGAGCAACGGGGCGGUGGCUUGACAUUCAUCUGAAAGGAUAAAACUGUCCAACACGGAAAAUUUUGUCUGGAAAUAUCGUGGCAUGUUUUAGAUGCACCGCCCAACAAUCUCAUCGUACGACGACGUUUCUUCCUAAUUCACACCUCUUAAAUACUCGCCCUCAUUGGAUUCAUCCACGUGGCAACCUAUCAUUUUAUCUAGUAUUUUUUUUUUUUAAUUCUUUUAAAUCAUCGCCAACUUUCUAUAUAAACGUAGCCACACCUUACCAACAAUCAGCAAAACUGAUCAUACCUAUCAUCCUCUCUAAAUUUCCAAUACUUUCACUGCAAACUUGUUUACUCUCUUAGUUUUUAACGCCAAAAAUGGCUCCCAAUAACCAUGCAGAUGCAGCAUCCCGUGGUCUAGUUAAGGCCGCCAGUUUGUCUAGCCGAGCCUAUGUCACUUUCUUGGCAGGCGACGGCGACUAUGUGAAAGGAGUCGUGGGCUUGGCAAAGGGAUUGAGGAAAGUGAACGCUGCGUACCCACUUGUGGUGGCUGUUCUGCCGGACGUCCCAGAGGAGCACCGCAGCAUAUUGGUUAACCAGGGAUGCAUAGUGCGUGAUAUUGAACCGGUUUAUCCUCCUGAGAACCAGACCCAGUUCGCCAUGGCGUAUUAUGUCAUCAACUACUCCAAGCUUCGGAUUUGGGAGGUAAUAAUCCUGCAUAUUUUCAAGAAUCAAAUGAUUAUAUAUAAUGCAUGCACAGAAAACGUAUGAUGUUAUGCUCAAUUGAAUUUGUUUCUUAAUGCAGUUUGUGGAGUACAGCAAGAUGAUAUACUUGGAUGGAGACAUACAGGUUUUUGACAACAUAGAUCACCUCUUUGAUUUGCCAAAUGAGUAUUUCUAUGCUGUGAUGGACUGUUUUUGUGAGAAGACAUGGAGUCACACCCCACAAUUCAAGAUUGGGUAUUGCCAACAGUGCCCGGAUAAGGUCCAUUGGCCUCAAGAAUUGGGUCCUAAUCCUCCUCUCUAUUUCAAUGCUGGGAUGUUUGUCUUUGAACCAAGCCUCCCCACCUACCAUGAUCUCUUGCACAAACUCAAAAUCACAACUCCGACUUCAUUUGCUGAGCAGGUAAAACAACACAGUCAUUUAAUCAGAAAAUUCUAUGACAAGUAGUUGUAUGAAAUGAAAUUUGAAGUGUACUAAAUGUCACAUUUGCAGGAUUUCUUGAACAUGUUCUUCAGGGAUAUUUACAAGCCAAUUCCCAAUAAUUACAACUUGGUUUUGGCAAUGCUGUGGCGCCAUCCCGAGAACGUGAAGCUCGAUGAAGU
rnacentral:lncRNA from 1 species